AAAAGGAAGUAGAGAUAUUCGUAUAUUGAUGGAAAAUAAACAAAUCAUAUAUAUAAUAGCAGAGUUUUCUCUCUUCUAAAAGUGUCCACGUCACUACAUCUUUUUAAUGUGGAGCCCACAUGUUUUUACUCGCCUUCACAUUUUUUUUU
rnacentral:sRNA from 1 species